GGGCGUGUAGCAUAGCUGGAUAAUGCGUUGGCCUCCUAAGCCGAAGAUCCCGGGUUCAAAUCCUGGCACGUCCG
rnacentral:tRNA from 4 species